GAUGAAGAACGCAGCGAAAUGCGUUAAGUAGUGUGAAUUGCAGAAUUCGGUGAAUCAUCGAAUCUUUGAACGCACAUUGCGCCCCUUGGUAUUCCAUGGGGCAUGCCUGUUCGAGCGUCAUUUGUACCUUCAAGCUUUGCUUGGUGUUGGGUGUUUGUCCUGAGGGACUCGCCUUAAAGUAAUUGGCAGCCAGUGUUUGGUUUUGAAGCGCAGCACAAGUCGCGAUUCAAAGCUAUACGCCCGCUUCCACAAGCCUUUUUCACUUUUGACCUCGGAUCAGGUAGGGAUACCCGCUGAACUUAAGCAUAUCAAUAAGCGGAGGA
rnacentral:misc_RNA from 1 species